UCACUAUUGGAUUUAUAGUCCCAAUAUUUCCCAAAGGUAUUGCUACCUGCACACAGUUCAAAAUCGCAUCAGAUGAUAAGUAAACACUCUAAUAGGCACAUCUGAACAUCUCAACUCGUUUAGUCUAUAGGCACAUUUAAACAUCUCAACUCAUCUUAUACUGUAUCAGCUAGGCGCAUAUGAACAUCUCAACUCGUCUAGUCUAUAGGCACAUCUAAACAUCUCAACUCGUCUAUACUGUAUCAGCUAAAGACUCUAAUUUACAAAAUAAUCAUAUUCAGACACCUCUAAAAUCUCUGUGUCACUUCAAUAUUGAAUGCCCACAAGACACA
rnacentral:lncRNA from 1 species